rnacentral:rRNA from 1 species
GAGUCAUUGGGACUAAUUAAACCUAAAGGCGCAAUGAAAGUAAAGGUCCGCCUCGCGCGGACCUAGGGAGGAUGGGCCCGUCCUAGCGCGGGCCCCGCACUCCCGGGGCGUCUCGUUCUCAUCGCGAGAUGAGGCGCACCCAGAGCGUACACGCUGGGACCCGAAAGAUGGUGAACUAUGCCUGGUCAGGACGAAGUCAGGGGAAACCCUGAUGGAGGUCCGUAGCGAUUCUGACGUGCAAAUCGAUCGUCGGAACUGGGUAUAGG